AUUGAACGCUGGCGGCAUGCCUUACACAUGCAAGUCGAACGGUAGCAGGGCUGCUUGUGCCUGGUGGCGGCUGGCGGACGGGUGAUAAAUACAUCGGAACACGUCCGGGGGGGGGGGAUAGCCGGGCGAAAGCCUGAUUAAUCCCGCAUACGAUGGACGGAAGAAAGGGGGGGACCGGCCGGCCGCGCGCGGAGGGGUCGGCGGAUGGCUGAUUAGCUAGUUGGUGGGAUAAAGGCCUACCAAGGCGACGAUCGGUAGCUGGUCUGAGAGGACGACCAGCCACACUGGGACUGAGACACGGCCCAGACUCCUACGGGAGGCAGCAGUGGGGAAUUUUGGACAAUGGGCGAAAGCCUGAUCCAGCAAUGCCGCGUGUGUGAUGAAGGCCUUCGGGUUGUAAAGCACUUUUGUCCGGAACGAAAAGCUUGGCCCUAAUACGGUCGGGGGAUGACGGUACCGGAAGAAUAAGCACCGGCUAACUACGUG
rnacentral:rRNA from 1 species